UACGUAGGGUGCAAGCGUUAAUCGGAAUUACUGGGCGUAAAGCGUGCGCAGGCGGCUUUGCAAGACAGAUGUGAAAUCCCCGGGCUUAACCUGGGAACUGCAUUUGUGACUGCAAGGCUGGAGUGCGGCAGAGGGGGAUGGAAUUCCGCGUGUAGCAGUGAAAUGCGUAGAUAUGCGGAGGAACACCGAUGGCGAAGGCAAGCCCCUGGGCCUGCACUGACGCUCAUGCACGAAAGCGUGGGGAGCAAACAGG
rnacentral:rRNA from 1 species